AACGCACCUUGCGCCCAUUGGUAUUCCGAUGGGCAUGCCUGUUUGAGUGUCUUGAAAUCAUCAAGCCCGUUCGGUUUCACCGCCGAGCGGGAUUGGACUUGGGGGCUUGCCGCUUCGCCGCGGCUCCCCUUAAAUGAAUCGGUUUCGGGUCUCUGUGGGAGUAACCCCUUGGGCGUUGUAUAACCCUCGCCGUCUGGGAACUCCUCGCGACGUCCGCGUCGUCGAAGGGCCUUGAAGGAACCUCGACCUGCUGUAGAGCGGCGGUCAACGUUAAUUUGAAAUCUGACCUCAAAUCAGGUAGGACUACCCGCUGAACUUAA
rnacentral:misc_RNA from 3 species